UUCGCCCUUAGAGUUUGAUCCUGGCUCAGGACGAACGCUGGCGGCACGCUUAACACAUGCAAGUCGAACGAGAGAAGAGAAGCUUGCUUUUCUGAUCUAGUGGCGGACGGGUGAGUAACACGUGAGCAAUCUGCCUUUCAGGGGGGGAUACCGAUUGGAAACGAUCGUUAAUACCGCAUAACAUAAUUGAACCGCAUGAUUUGAUUAUCAAAGAUUUAUCGCUGAAAGAUGAGCUCGCGUCUGAUUAGCUAGUUGGUAAGGUAACGGCUUACCAAGGCGACGAUCAGUGGCCGGACUGAGAGGUUGAUCGGCCACAUUGGGACUGAGACACGGCCCAGACUCCUACGGGAGGCAGCAGUGGGGAAUAUUGCACAAUGGAGGAAACUCUGAUGCAGCGAUGCCGCGUGAGGGAAGAAGGUUUUAGGAUUGUAAACCUCUGUCUUUGGGGACGAAAAAUGACGGUACCCAAGGAGGAAGCUCCGGCUAACUACGUGCCAGCAGCCGCGGUAAUACGUAGGGAGCGAGCGUUGUCCGGAAUUACUGGGUGUAAAGGGAGCGUAGGCGGGAUCGCAAGUCAGAUGUGAAAACUAUGGGCUUAACCCAUAAACUGCAUUUGAAACUGUGGUUCUUGAGUGAAGUAGAGGUAAGCGGAAUUCCUAGUGUAGCGGUGAAAUGCGUAGAUAUUAGGAAGAACAUCAGUGGCGAAGGCGGCUUACUGGGCUUUAACUGAGGCUGAGGCUCGAAAGCGUGGGGAGCAAACAGGAUUAGAUACCCUGGUAGUCCACGCCGUAAACGAUGAUUACUAGGUGUGGGGGGACUGACCCCUUCCGUGCCGCAGCAAACGCAAUAAGUAAUCCACCUGGGGAGUACGACCGCAAGGUUGAAACUCAAAGGAAUUGACGGGGGCCCGCACAAGCAGUGGAGUAUGUGGAUUAAUUCGAAGCAACGCGAAGAACCUUACCAGGUCUUGACAUCGUAUGCAUAGCUCAGAGAUGAGUGAAAUCUCUUCGGAGACAUAUAGACAGGUGGUGCAUGGUUGUCGUCAGCUCGUGUCGUGAGAUGUUGGGUUAAGUCCCGCAACGAGCGCAACCCUUACUGUUAGUUGCUACGCAAGAGCACUCUAGCAGGACUGCCGUUGACAAAACGGAGGAAGGUGGGGAUGACGUCAAAUCAUCAUGCCCCUUAUGACCUGGGCUACACACGUACUACAAUGGCAAUAUAACAGAGGGAAGCAAUACAGCGAUGUGGAGCAAAUCCCCAAAAAUUGUCCCAGUUCAGAUUGCAGGCUGCAACUCGCCUGCAUGAAGUCGGAAUUGCUAGUAAUCGCAGAUCAGCAUGCUGCGGUGAAUACGUUCCCGGGCCUUGCACACACAGGCCGUCA
rnacentral:rRNA from 1 species